GCGGCAAAAGCUCAAAUUUGAAAUCUGGCUCUUUCAGAGUCCGAGUUGUAAUUUGAAGAAGGUAUCUUUGGGUCUGGCUCUUGUCUAUGUUUCUUGGAACAGAACGUCACAGAGGGUGAGAAUCCCGUGCGAUGAGAUGAUCCAGGCCUAUGUAAAGUUCCUUCGAAGAGUCGAGUUGUUUGGGAAUGCAGCUCUAAGUGGGUGGUAAAUUCCAUCUAAAGCUAAAUAUUGGCGAGAGACCGAUAGCGAACAAGUACAGUGAUGGAAAGAUGAAAAGAACUUUGAAAAGAGAGUGAAAAAGUACGUGAAAUUGUUGAAAGGGAAGGGCUUGAGAUCAGACUUGGUAUUUUGUAUGUUACUUCUUCGGGGGUGGCCUCUACAGUUUAUCGGGCCAGCAUCAGUUUGGGCGGUAGGAGAAUUGCGUUGGAAUGUGGCACGGCUUCGGUUGUGUGUUAUAGCCUUCGUCGAUACUGCCAGCCUAGACUGAGGACUGCGGUUUAUACCUAGGAUGU
rnacentral:rRNA from 1 species